GGAAACAGCCCAGAGCAUCGACUAAGGCCCUAAGCGUACGCUAAGUGGGAAAGGAUGUGSAGUCGCAGAGACAACCAGGAGGUUGGCUUAGAAGCAGCCACCCUUGAAAGAGUGCGUAAUAGCUCACUGGUCAAGUGAUUCCGCGCCGACAAUGUAGCGGGGCUCAAGCGUACCGCCGAAGUCGUGUCAUUCAUACACAUAUCCUUAACGGGAGUAUGGAUGGGUAGGGGAGCGUCGUGUGCCGGGUGAAGCAGCCGCGGAAGCGAGUUGUGGACGGUUCACGAGUGAGAAUGCAGGCAUGAGUAGCGAUACACACGUGAGAAACGUGUGCGCCGAUUGACUAAGGGUUCCUGGGUCAAGCUGAUCUGCCCAGGGUAAGUCGGGACCUAAGGCGAGGCCGACAGGCGUAGUCGAUGGACAACCGGUUGAUAUUCCGGUACCCGCUUUGAAACGCCCAGUACUGAAUCAGGCGAUGCUAAGUCCGUGAAGCCGGCCCGAUCUCUUCGGAGUUGAGGGUAGUGGUGGAGCCGAUGAACCAGACUUGUAGUAGGUAAGCGAUGGGGUGACRCAGGAAGGUAGUCCAGCCCGGGCGGUGGUUGUCCCGGGGUAAGGGUGUAGGCCGUGUGRUAGGUAAAUCCGUCACACGUUAAGGCUGAGACCUGAUGCCGAGCCGAUUGUGGUGAAGUGGAUGAUCCUAUGCUGUCGAGAAAAGCCUCUAGCGAGUUUCAUGGCGGCCCGUACCCUAAACCAACUCAGGUAGUCAGGUAGAGAAUACCGAGGCGUUCGGGUGAACUAUGGUUAAGGAACUCGGCAAAAUGCCCCCGUAACUUCGGGAGAAGGGGGGCCAUCACUGGUGAKSGRAYUURCUCSGUGAGCUGGGGGUGGCCGCAGAGACCAGCGAGAAGCGACUGUUUACUAAAAACACAGGUCCGUGCGAAGCCGUAAUGGCGAUGUAUACGGACUGACGCCUGCCCGGUGCUGGAACGUUAAGGGGACCGGUUAGUGCACUUU
rnacentral:rRNA from 1 species